UUAGUCAAAUGAUAUGUUUGGAAUCGGAUGAUGAGCUGGAAAAUUCUCGAUUUGGAAAUUGGAAUGAUAAUGGAGCAAGGGAAUUUUCUUCUCAUGAAGAAAUUAUUGGAAGUUCAACAUGACUUACCAUUCAAUUGGCUGUGGAAGUUCUCCUGACAGACAUGUUUCAUGUAAAGAUGUUACUCGAGCUGAAAAUUUCGGGUACAAUCCUUCAAAUCCAACCUCCUCACAAGUGGUUAGUCCUCAGAACACUGCAAAUUAAGUAAAAGCUCAGUCUGAAAUUUGGUAGGAAAAACAACCCUUUCGGCGCAUUGAAGUUACACGUGACCAGGCACUUGAGAUAUUUUCGGAUAAUAAGUUUA